ensembl:lncRNA
CUUUCUCAUGAUGCUUAACCACUGUGGUUGCUGAGAAGUUAUCUGUCAGCUUGUAUAUCCUCAGAAAUUAACUCCAGCUCACAUACAUCCUGAUCAUUUCUCAACAAGAGUGUAGGAGUGUGCCCAGGCAGCUUUUGCCAUGUGUGGAUCAAACAUUUUCAAGAGUGUGACACAGGGAAAAGCCCAGACAUCGUUACACACUCGGCACUGUGAACUGCACCUUGUCUCCUUAAUGAGGCUCUAAACUUCUUCAGAGCAUCUGGUCAGAAGACUGAGGCUUGGAGAGAUUAUUUCUCCCCCACCUCCCUCAAGACCUCUUAGCUCCUUUGGAUAUACCCAAAUUCUUUAUACACAAAAGGGAAAGGUAGUUGUCACACCACUUUCCUCUCCAAUUCCCAUCCUUCAGAUCUCAUCAUGGGCUUUCAGUGCCAGGUACAAAGCAAGAUGGCAAUGCAAAUGGAGCUCCAGUGAAUUUUACCCCCGGCAUCUUUCUCAUCCUCAGGUCUAGACCCUCCGAAGUUUAAUACAGAAAGACACUGUGUGUUAACUCAAUCCUUGCUGUACCUUGAACAAACAUUUUUUCGAAAAAUAGUAAGGACAUUCAACAAGAUACAAAUUCCAAACUAAGUAUGAAGACAAUAAUUUCAAACUGGUAUGAAUUGAUUCAAGUGAUCAUCAAUUACAUUUUUGAGCUCUCAGUCUACUAUAAGAUAUAUUUAUUUAAUAAAUGCUGGUCAAGUUAAUUAGUUACUGACCCC